GAUGUAGGCGCUGACAUCUUGCCCCGAGUAGCUGAACACCUACUUUCUGUAUGUUUUGUUUGCUGUCACAGGAGCUGCCAAAGAGACUAUAUACGUUCUAUAGUCUCCUUGGGAGCUGCCGAUACAAAGGGCUGCUGGCAGGGGAGAAAUCCCAAGCCGCCUGUGACAUCAGGAUCAAGAUCAACACCGCCGCUUAAGAUCAAGUCUCGUGCAAAGUCCAUCAUGGAUGUGGAGGAAGGCCCAAGGAUCCAGGGAGGCACGCUGACCACCAUGCGGGAAUCUCAGCAGAGUAGGGCCUCAGCAUGCUACAGUCCAUCAUUAUGGAUCAUGCAGUCCUGGUGGGAGUUUGAUGUGAAGGCAAGACUCACAGCAGUGACACCUGCCUCUCCACCUGCUGCCCUCAGACGUAGAUAACACUCCCUGGCAGACCCUGACCACACCUUUCAUCUUCGUCGGUGGGGCAGGAGGAAUACUAAACACCACCGUGGGAGGCAAGGCACCGAAUUCUUGAGGCAGUGUGUAGCAAGGCUGCUCAUCACCAAACAAGUGCAAUCAGUUCACAGCAGGCCUCUGCUCUACAUGACCUACCAUUCAAGAGGGCAAUGUUGUAUAAGAACUGUUCACAUCACAGUGGGUGGGUACAGUCAGGCAGAAGCUACUCUACAGGACUCCUAGUGUGAAUGGGUUGCAGAAGCCUGUACAAAAUUCUGUCCUAAACUGUCAUGAAUUCCAACAGGCAGAAUUUUGCUCAGGUCUUCACAUCACAUGCACACAAGGAGACACUCUUGAGUAGACUGGUUGCUAUCUGACUGUACUCACUGCUGAAUUGUGAUCAGUUGAGUUUAUAAAAUAUUGCCAUCUUGACAGGAAGUCGUGAAAUGAUCACACUGGACCGUGAGGAUUUGUCUACUAUGCUGAAAACCAUGCUGUAGAGGUGUGGCCCAUUUCCCCAAGCAACUGAUGGACUCCUUGCAGUCUGUCAGUCAUCAACUAACCACCAGAAGGACGCCUCAUCACAUUCUGCAAAGAUUAAAUAUAAUAUCAACUCUGUACAUGCCUGCACAGCCUGUACUGUUCCAUCUCACUAGAAUUACACUUUUACAGUAAAUUUUCCCAGACAUCAUUUACAGUACAUGGCCAGCUUCACACUGUUCAAGAGCAUUAAAGCAGAUAUAUUAACAGAUUGGUACACAAUGUCAGAGCUAUUGUAUUAACGAGCUUCAAAUAAAGGAAUACCAUUAAUCUUUGUUCACUGUACCCAAACUGUUGGAUGGCCUUGUAUUAUGGCUUGAGCCAUCCAUAUUAAUUGAUGUUCAGCCAACUUUUAUCAGUUGAAAGUAAAUCAAAGUUAAAAUAUUUUCAUUUAAGUGACAAGACAAAGGUAUGGAAGCAGCAUUUUGAAUCAAUGGGAAGAAUGGAAGAUAUAUUAUCAGAGUGAGGAUCAAUGUAGGGCACUCACAUCCAUAGAAGCUUGUGAUAGAGGAGGCAGGACAAUCUAAAAAUAAAAGCCACUGGUAUUGAUAUAACAGUAGAAGUGCUCAAAUGCUAGAGGUACAGUUUUGGAGUGGGUGUGGAUAUAGUCUAUCCUGGGAGCAAAGGAGCAGCUGGAAGACUGGAAAAGGCAAACACCGAGCUGCUGUACAAACUAAAAGCAGGAAUGAUCGUAACUCUUAAGCUUAAUUUGCAAAGACAGGUAUAUGGAAGAGUAAAAUGAAAACCAAUAACUGCAAGCUAAGAAUGAGGGUGGUUCAGUUAAGUGAGAGGAAUGUGUGGAUAAAAGUUUUGUUUUUAGUUAAAAGUUUAGAGUUAAUGAUAGGUUUGCCGCUUUCAUGGAUCUAGGCGUUGGAAACCGGUAAUACUAUGCUCCGAGUACGAUAAUGACUGGGUGGACACGAAGGGUAUUGUCUAUCCUUCAAACCUGCUGUAUAAUACUUUCUGGUAAAAAGUUGAAUUGCUAUUGAGAUUUUCAUGGCCAAGGUUAGAAGUUAUGCAUUUUAAGGUGUUACUACUACUACUACUACUACUACUACUUUAUUAGGGUAGGCGGUGGCUGAACUGGUAGCGUACUGGGCCCACAUUCACCGUGUGAUGGACGACGCGGGUUCGAAUCCCCACGCUACCACUCUGAUUUUUCAGUCACCGCCGAGUGGCUUAAAACUACCCACAUGCUGUCCUGAGGACCACCCAUCAACCCGGACUCUAGAGGAAGCCGUCCAAGCGAAUCAAGAACGAGUUCCGGGAGGGCAGCAUGAGCCAAUGCAAG